ensembl:lncRNA
GCAGUGACGUUUGUAGGGUUACUGAAGUUUGGCUAGCUGGUAUAUAAUGAUGUGCUACGUGACCGCUAGCGACACAGCUAUGUUAGCAUAACAUAAACAAGCUAACUUUUUUUCCCACUCGAUAAAAGUUAACGUGAGGGUUCUCGGUGGUCAGGAACAAAUGUUAUCGCUAGCGGGAUGCUGUAAAAGGACUAAACUUCAGCCAGGAGAACAAGUGAGAUAAUCCAUCCACAAUACGAGACUACUUUAGGCCCGGAAGUAGGAUUCGUCACGUCAUCACUGAACAACCGGAUACUGGAAUUUCCCACUACCCGUGAACGCCUCAUCUUUUACCUGACUGGCUGACAUCCGCCUCUCCGCACACUUCGUUGAGUCCGCUCUCGGUGAGUGCUGCUCCUCUUCUCCUCUCCGAAAUGUCUAUACUUUGUUUGCGCGAUUUAACGAGUUCUUGUUAGUGAUUUAUAGAGCCAGCUGAGGUAUAACUCAUAUUAAAGUAACACAGUGGUUGCUUUUUAGUGAAAAAUUGUCAUUUUUGUAUGUAAAAGCAGUGUUUGAUGAGCUAACGCUAACAACCCAAUGCUAACGCCUAGCGCUCUUAUGAGCCCAGUGUGAAAUGAAGAUAAUUCAUUUGACUGUAAACCACGGUUAUUGUGUUGUUUUAUUAAUUACAUUUGGUGUGUUCGUCUUUUUCAGUCUGUUAAAUAAGGUGCAGUUAGCUCUCUUCACAAAUAAGUUGGUUAAAACAGCCUCAUUCUUUAGGUUGUAACGUUUUUAACGAACCCCCAUAGAUUUAGUUUCAGCUGUCGGCAAGAUCAAAGGAGCCAUUUUACCGCCUCUGACCGAACACGGGAGAAAAAGAGUCACAUUUGUCCAGGUCUUGUGGGUUAAUUAAGAGAAAGGAGGGAGGGAGAAACUGAGGAUUAAACAUAGGCUAUGUCCCCACAUACACGGGUAUUUUUGAAAACUGAGAUUUUCUGUUUUAAAAAACAAUCCCGUCCACACUUAAAUGCAGAAAUGAAGGAAAACGCUGCUAGGAACAUGCCAAAGCAACAGGUGGCGAUAUAUUCCUAACCGUGUAGAAAUGUUGGCCAAUCAGAAGUCUAGAAGCCUCGGUGGGAAAUAGCAAACAAAGAUGGGGCAUAAAAGCAGAACCGAGUCAUAUGUGUGGGGGGACAGUACCUGUGUGUAUAUGUAAGCAUUUAAACAAUGCAGAGAGUACAAUUAACAGUAUUGUAGAAAUGCAUUUCACCAAAACAAUAACGUGGCGCACAGUGUGACGUCAAAAAAGGCCCUGCGUUUUCUCCGUUUUCCUCGAUGCAAAAACUGAGUUUUCGAAAAUGUCCUGGCAAGCGUUUUUAGAAAUCUCCGUUUUCAGUCACCGAAAACGCCGUUUAAGUGUGGACGAAAGGUGCAAACGCAUAGAAAAAUCUCCGAUUUUAAAAGUACCUGUGUACAUGUGGACAUAGCCCAAGAAUAAUAAGAACUCCUAAACAGGAGACUUUAAUUUUUAAGAACUGUUUAACAAAGGCUUGUUUGUGCCAACCUAAAUCUGCAGCACAGUUUAAAUUCUCACUUUGUGGAAAAUUAAUGAAAUAAACAACAGCCCACCUUCACAUAAAUAAAAUAUGGCAGUAUGUUAUUAUUAGUAUGGUACAUGGAUAUUUAUUUUAAAACUACAGCAUAUUUAAUGAUACUAUGUGCAGUUGAUAAUAUUUUAGGAAGUAGAAUUUGAAUGCAGACCACCUCAAAUAUUAAAGCCUUAAAAAUAUAUCGUGCAGUUUUUCAUAUAUGAGUGUUAUUGCAAUCUUAAAUGAGAAUUAGACCAAAGAAAACAGAGGAGAGUUGUUGUUUGUAUUCCAGCUGUAGUAAACAAAGAAGUUUAGUGAAUCUUUUUGACAACAGAGAGUGAUGCAGUAUUGAUGCUAAUUUGAGUUUUCUGAUCCUGUAUUUUUGCUCUUUGUCUUUUGUUACACAGAGUGAAAUAGAAGCUUGGUUUUGCCUUUGCUGAGUGAAACAGAACUUCGGUUUUGCCUUUGCUG